GGGGAUUUAGCUCAGUGGUAGAGCGCUUGCCUAGCACGCGCAAGGCCCUGGGUUCGGUCCCCAGCUCCG
rfam:Rattus norvegicus chromosome 16, whole genome shotgun sequence.